GACGAACGCUGGCGGCGUGCUUAACACAUGCAAGUCGAACGGAAAGGCCCUGCUUUUGUGGGGUGCUCGAGUGGCGAACGGGUGAGUAACACGUGAGUAACCUGCCCUUGACUUUGGGAUAACUUCAGGAAACUGGGGCUAAUACCUGAUAGGAGCUCCUGCUGCAUGGUGGGGGUUGGAAAGUUUCGGCGGUUGGGGAUGGACUCGCGGCUUAUCAGCUUGUUGGUGGGGUAGUGGCUUACCAAGGCUUUGACGGGUAGCCGGCCUGAGAGGGUGACCGGCAACAUUGGGACUGAGAUACGGCCCAGACUCCUACGGGAGGAAGCAGUGGGGAAUAUGGCACAAUGGGCGGAAGCCUGAUGCAGCAACGCAGCGUGCGGGAUGACGGCCUUCGGGUUGUAAACAGAGUUCGAAUGUGAAGAAGCGAGAGUGACGGUAAUGGGUAAAGAAGCACCGGCUAACUACGUG
rnacentral:rRNA from 1 species